rnacentral:lncRNA from 1 species
GAAAUUAAAAUAUAAAUGUGUAUCUUUUGCACAAUUGUGACACCUAAAGUUUAAAAAUUAAUAAAUUUCAGCCCUGGGAUUUGCAAAGAUAACUGCCACAUAGAGCCAUCUUGUACCUUCCUAACACGCCCUUCCCACCCCUUACCACGUGUUGGGAGAUGUGGACCUGGUCUGAGGGUGGGGUGUUCCCCAGGGUCUUGCCUCAACUUCUCCUACAUCCUCUGUGUUGUGUCUGUCCCCUGCCCUGCAGGUUGCUGGCAGACUGAUCAUCCACGCAGAUGAGCUGGCCCAGAUGUGGAAGGCGCUGAAUCUUCCAACAGAUCUGUUUAAUAGUGUGAUGAGCGUGGGUCACUUCACGGAGGAGAUUGAGUGGCUGAAGUUUUUAGCCCUCGCUUCUAGCGCUCUGGGAGUUAAUUGGUCCUGAUGGUAUAAUCACAGUGAAUGACUUUACCCAAAACCCCAGGGUUUGGCUGGAGUAAAAGCACAAUUUUGGCAAUUUUAAGGGAAGAUACAGAGAUGCCUGUACUUCAGAAUGACUGAAACCCAUAUACCCUCCAAAAUCAAUUUUCUUGUACAACUGGUACACACGAAUAAACCAUUAAAAAUAUGAAAUCAGAAAUGUAUAAAUUAAGAUGUGAAAUUGUUGGAACAAAACACCUUCAUUACCAGGAGAUUAGUAUUCGUUCCAC